AACGAACGCUGGCGGCAGGCCUAACACAUCCAAGUCGAGCGCCCUUUCGGGGGAGCGGCGGUCGGGUGAGUAACGCGUGGGAAUAUGCCCUUCUCUACGGAAUAGCCUCGGGAAACUGAGAGUAAUACCGUAUACGCCCUAUGGGGGAAAGAUUUAUCGGGGAAGGAUUAGCCCGCGUUGGAUUAGGUAGUUGGUGGGGUAAUGGCCUACCAAGCCGACGAUCCAUAGCUGGUUUGAGAGGAUGAUCAGCCACACUGGGACUGAGACACGGCCCAGACUCCUACGGGAGGCAGCAGUGGGGAAUCUUAGACAAUGGGGGCAACCCUGAUCUAGCCAUGCCGCGUGAGUGAUGAAGGCCUUAGGGUUGUAAAGCUCUUUCAGCUGGGAAGAUAAUGACGGUACCAGCAGAAGAAGCCCGGGCUAACUCCGUG
rnacentral:rRNA from 1 species